rnacentral:rRNA from 2 species
CACGCCGUAAACGAUGAGUGCUAGAUGUAGGGAGCUAUAAGUUCUCUGUAUCGCAGCUAACGCAAUAAGCACUCCGCCUGGGGAGUACGACCGCAAGGUUGAAACUCAAAGGAAUUGACGGGGGCCCGCACAAGCGGUGGAGCAUGUGGUUUAAUUCGAAGCAACGCGAAGAACCUUACCAGGUCUUGACAUACUCGUGCUAUUCCUAGAGAUAGGAAGUUCCUUCGGGACACGGGAUACAGGUGG